rnacentral:rRNA from 1 species
GACGAACGCUGGCGGCGUGCUUAACACAUGCAAGUCGAACGAUGAAGCCCAGCUUGCUGGGUGGAUUAGUGGCGAACGGGUGAGUAACACGUGGGUGAUCUGCCCUGCACUCUGGGAUAAGCCUGGGAAACUGGGUCUAAUACCGGAUAUGACCUCGGGAUGCAUGUUCUGGGGUGGAAAGUUUUUCGGUGCAGGAUGAGCCCGCGGCCUAUCAGCUUGUUGGUGGGGUAAUGGCCUACCAAGGCGACGACGGGUAGCCGGCCUGAGAGGGCGACCGGCCACACUGGGACUGAGACACGGCCCAGACUCCUACGGGAGGCAGCAGUGGGGAAUAUUGCACAAUGGGCGCAAGCCUGAUGCAGCGACGCCGCGUGAGGGAUGACGGCCUUCGGGUUGUAAACCUCUUUCACCCAUGACGAAGCGCAAGUGACGGUAGUGGGAGAAGAAGCACCGGCCAACUACGUGCCAGCAGCCGCGGUAAUACGUAGGGUGCGAGCGUUGUCCGGAAUUACUGGGCGUAAAGAGCUCGUAGGCGGUUUGUCGCGUCGUCUGUGAAAUCCCGCAGCUCAACUGCGGGCUUGCAGGCGAUACGG